GGCCGCCUGGCGAAAUGGCAUCGCGUCUGACUACGAAUUGCGAAUGUGAAUCAAUUAUCAGGAGAUUGCAGGUUCGACCCCUGCGGUGGUCA